rnacentral:rRNA from 1 species
ACUCCUACGGGAGGCAGCAGUAGGGAAUCUUCCACAAUGGGCGCAAGCCUGAUGGAGCAACACCGCGUGAGUGAAGAAGGGUUUCGGCUCGUAAAGCUCUGUUGUUAAAGAAGAACACGUAUGAGAGUAACUGUUCAUACGUUGACGGUAUUUAACCAGAAAGUCACGGCUAACUACGUGCCAGCAGCCGCGGUAAUACGUAGGUGGCAAGCGUUAUCCGGAUUUAUUGGGCGUAAAGAGAGUGCAGGCGGUUUUCUAAGUCUGAUGUGAAAGCCUUCGGCUUAACCGGAGAAGUGCAUCGGAAACUGGAUAACUUGAGUGCAGAAGAGGGUAGUGGAACUCCAUGUGUAGCGGUGGAAUGCGUAGAUAUAUGGAAGAACACCAGUGGCGAAGGCGGCUACCUGGUCUGCAACUGACGCUGAGACUCGAAAGCAUAGGUAGCGAACAGGAUUAGAUACCCUGGUAGGAUAGCC